rnacentral:tRNA from 2 species
GUCCUCUUAGCUCAGCGGUAGAGCAGCUGUGUGUCACACAGAUAGGCGUGGGUUCGAAUCCCGCAGAGGACG